ACACUGGUCACCAGGUACAUAGUAUAAAUGGAUAUUUUGGCUUCAAAAAAAUAAUGACCAGGUUAUCGAGUCCACCCUACAAUCCAGAUGUCUUUCUUAAAAAAAUUUUUUUAAUAAUAAUAUAAGCAAUUUUUCUGGCUGUAUCCUGGCAUUUGGCACUUUACAAUAACAAUAUACAAAGGGGACAACAAGAGAUUCUUAACCAGGCAAUCUGCUCUGGAAAGAAGAAUGCAGAGAAAGUGCCAACCUUCCUUCCUGGGGAGACAAUUUGAUAGUGUAUACUGGAAACACAAAAUAAAGGAUGGCAAUCCAGCUCCCUGGGUCUGACUUGCCUUCAGUAUUUUGCACAGUAAAGCAGUAACACAGGUGGGCAAGAAUGGUUCUUGUCCCCAGAAUCUGACAAUAAUUGAAACUAGGAUCAUUAAUAAAUGAAAGAAAAUGAGUGAAGGCUUAUCCACCUAGUUCAGGCCUGCUUUUCAUAGUCAACACUGCACCAACACACCAAAGUGGUAGGGAGAUCUUGGACUGAUGGGCUGAAAAAUGGGACAAUCAGUACUGUGUUUAUUAAUAACACAGAAGGGGCUUUGGGUAGUCAGCAUACUCAGAAGCAAUGCGAAAGGAAGUAGAGGGGUUCAUGUAUAAUGGGUGGGACCAAGGAAAGUGCAACUGAGAAUUGUUUAAGUCCAAGAGAAAGGGCCUUGUCCGGUCAACAUUACCCAGCAAAGAGGCAAAAGGGGCAGGGCAGAGGGAAGGGAAGAGGGAGACAGCACAAUCUUACCUAAUAGCUGCAUAUAUGGACACCUGAGAUUGUGAGCAAUAGUCUGUAAAAAGGGGCCAAGGGCACACAAGGGGCAGAGAGAGGGAAGACUUCGUAUAUAAAGCAUGACACCAUGGCUACCUGUGAUUUUACACACUGGCGCAAUGCAAAAGGGUGGGAGUAUGGACCACUGUUUGAUAGAAAAGUGCAUGGAAUACUCCAAUGCUUAUACUUUAUUAUGCCAUGGGAAACUAAGGGUGGGGUGGGGCGCUUGCUUAACAAGGUCAGGGAGGGAGAAAACCAUUGAUAACUGCCAUUGUGCCUAUUAACAGUCCCAGGAGAAGUUUUGAGUAGUCAGCAGCCCCUGCAGUAAUGCAAAGGGGAUACUAGGGCAUAAUAUCCCACUCUAACAGAAGGAGACAUAUAUAAUUGCAAAUAUUCACAUUAACAGUACAAGGGGCCUUAGUGGGUCAGUACCCCCGAUGUAAGCAACGAGGAGGCAGGAGUCUUAUCUAAUGAUCAGUGCCCUUGAUAAUUGUUAUUAAUGCUAUUAAUUGUCCAAGAGCUGAGAUUAUGAGUAGUUAACACUUCUCAGCAGCAAUCCAAAGGGUAAUGGGAGGAACAUAGGGUCUUUUUCUCCUACACAGGUCCACAAAUACAAUUAUGACAUUAAUAUUAAAAGAAAAGGGUUCAUUCAUAAUUAACAUGCCCCUGAUGCAAGGGGAGUAUGUGGAGAUCAACUCUUAGUCUAAAAGAAGAGGUGGACAAUUGCAUUAAUGCAUAUUAAGUCCAAAAGAAGGGGCACUUAGUGAAUAUCAUCCCCCUGCUCUAAAGCAAAGGUGGUACAGGAACAUGCUUAGAGAAUUGAGUUUGUGCACAUGAACAUUCCAAGUGACAGUCUUGAGUAGUGGCCACUACCUGCUAAAAACGCUAAGAAAGUAGGUAGGAUCCUUAUCUAGUGCACAGAUCAGGAGCAAAUGUAAUUGCACAUAUUAACAGUCCAAAACAACAGGACUUUGGUUGAUCAGGACACCCUGCUGUACUACAAAGGAAAGGUGAUGGGGUAUGACCUUAAUCUACUGACAAAGACAAAAGAAAAUUUCAAUUAUAUGUUGAUAGUCCACCAGAAGGGGCCUUGGAGGGAAACAGUAUACCCCACAGUAAUGCAAAAGAGGUAUAAUGGUCCUAGAAGUGAUAGGGUUGUAGACAACUGCAAUUAUUCACAUUAACUGUUCAAAUGUAAAGAUCAUAAGGAGUGGGCACCCACUAUUGAAAAGAGGUGGGGCAUCCUUGUCUAGGGCACAAGAACCCACAUAAAUGCAAUUAUGCAUGUCAACAAGCCAAGAAAAGGGGACUUAGGGGGUCAGCAACCCUGGUAUACUGCAAAUGGAGGGUGAGAGGGUAGAACCUUGUUUAAUUAGGAUGAACCAUGUGGUGAUUACGUACAUUAAUGUCCAAGGGACAUUGUUGUGGUCAAUUAAAACCAUGUACUUUGGACAAAUAUAAGAAUCUUAAAAAGUAGUGGGUACUCCUUGUUGAAAAGCAAAGGGAGUCCAUGAGAAGGUGCCCUUAUCUAGUACACAAGAAUAUAGACAAGCCAAGCAAAGAGGCCUCAGUGAUCAGCACCCCAGCUAUACUGCAAAGGGGGUCUGAGAGUAGGACUUUAUUCAAAUAGGAUAAGCCAUGUGCAGUUAUGCACAUAAUUUCCAAGAUGCAUGGUUGUGGUCACUUUACAAUUGUGCACCUUGAUUGUCCAAAUGUAAGGGUCUUAUGGAGUGAGCACUCCCUGCUGGGAGGAAAAGAAAGAUUAUGCGUAGAUGGGAUGGGGCAGAGGAGGCUUCCUUGUCUAGUACACAGAAACCUGGACAAAUAUAAUCACACACAUAACAGGCCAGGAAAAGGGGCCUUGGUGAUCAGCACCCCUGCUGUACUGCAAAAGGGGUCUGAGACUAGGAUUUUAUUCAGAUAGGUUGAGCUGUGUGUAGUUAUGCAAAUCCAUGUCUAAGGUGCAUGGUUGUGUUCACUUAAGAAUUACGCACCUUGACUGUCCAAAUGUGAGAGUCUUAUGGAGUGGGCACUCCCUGCUGGAAGGGAAAGGUGAGACUGAGGUAUGUGGAGAGGACCCUCCUUUUCUAGUGCAUAGGAUCCCAGACAAUUA
rnacentral:lncRNA from 1 species